rnacentral:rRNA from 1 species
GAUGAACGCUAGCGGCAGGCCUAACACAUGCAAGUCGAGGGAGAAGCCCUUUCGGGGGCAGAAACCGGCGCACGGGUGCGUAACGCGUAUGCAACCUACCUUUCACAGGGGGAUAGCCCGAAGAAAUUUGGAUUAAUACCCCAUAAUAUUAUUGGAUGGCAUCAUUUGAUAAUUAAAACUGCGGUGGUGAAAGAUGGGCAUGCGUCCUAUUAGCUAGUUGGAGUGGUAACGGCACCCCAAGGCUACGAUAGGUAGGGGUCCUGAGAGGGAGAUCCCCCACACGGGUACUGAGACAGGGACCAGACUCCUACGGGAGGCAGCAGUGAGGAAGAUUGGGCAAUGGUCGGAAGACUGAACCAGCCAUGCCGCGUGCAGGAAGAAUGCCUUAUGGGUUGUAAACUGCUUUUAUAUGGGAAGAAUAAGGCGUACGUGUACGUUGAUGACGGUACCAUAUGAAUAAGCAUCGGCUAACUCCGUG